GCCAAGAAUGGAACCCACAGCCUCUGAGUCACAGUGAGCCGCUCCACACCACCUCGCAGAUCCAACACGAUGCUGGGCAAAGGCAAUAACCCAGAAGACCACCAUCAUAAUCAUGCCAAGAUCUCCUGAAGUCAGCUUUGAUUCCCCCAAAGAAAGAAGAAUGCAUGUCAGCCCCAAUCCUGAUUCCUAUCUGAAAACCUGUUUUUCUCCUUUUUACAUAAAACUCCCCACAGUUCUUCCCAAUGGGGGGCCCGUUCUUUAAGGCAUUAGUCUUCUGUGGCCUCCUUUGUCUGGCAAAGCAAUAAAAGCUAUCUUUUUCUCCUUCACCCAAAA